rnacentral:tRNA from 1 species
GAUACUGUCGUCAAGAGGCUAAGACACCAGUCUGCAAAACUGGAGUCGUGGGUUCGACUCCCACCAGUAUCUCCA